UACGUAGGUGGCAAGCGUUGUCCGGAUUUACUGGGCGUAAAGGAUGCGUAGGCGGAUGUUUAAGUGAGAUGUGAAAUACCCGAGCUCAACUUGGGUGCUGCAUUUCAAACUGGAUAUCUAGAGUGCAGGAGAGGAAAGCGGAAUUCCUAGUGUAGCGGUGAAAUGCGUAGAGAUUAGGAAGAACACCAGUGGCGAAGGCGGCUUUCUGGACUGUAACUGACGCUGAGGUAUGAAAGCGUGGGGAGCAAACAGG
rnacentral:rRNA from 1 species